rnacentral:rRNA from 1 species
AGUUAUAUGCUUGUCUCAAAGAUUAAGCCAUGCAUGUCUAAGUACAAGCGAAAAUAAAGUGAAACCGCAAAAGGCUCAUUAUAUCAGUUAUGGUUCCUUAGAUCGUAUCCACAAUUACUUGGAUAACUGUGGUAAUUCUAGAGCUAAUACAUGCAAUUAAAGAGAAACCAUUAAAUGGGAUCUCUGCUUUUAUUAGAUUUAAACCAAUGGGGAUUGCUUCGGUAUUCUCAUAAAACAUGGUUGAACUCUGGAUAAUUUGUUGAUCGCAUGGUCUUGUACCGGCGACGGAUCUUUCAAAUGUCUGCCCUAUCAACUAUUGAAGGUAGUGUCUUGGACUACCUUGGUUGCAACGGGUAACGGGGAAUUAGGGUUCGAUUCCGGAGAGGGAGCCUGAGAAACGGCUACCACAUCUAAGGAAGGCAGCAGGCGCGUAAAUUACCCACUCCCGGCACGGGGAGGUAGUGACGAAAAAUAACAAUACAAGACUCACAUCCGAGGCCUUGUAAUUGGAAUGAGUACACUUUAAAUCCUUUAACAAGGAUCAAUUGGAGGGUAAGUCUGGUGCCAGCAGCCGCGGUAAUUCCAGCUCCAAUAGCGUAUAUUAAAGUUGUUGCGGUUAAAACGUUCGUAGUUGAACUUGUGUUUCGCACGGGCAGUACCUAGGACUAGGUAACUAGGACGGUACUUGUCUUAUCUUUGCAAAUUCUCCAUAAAAGAAUUUGUAAAAAGUGCGUGAACGUAUUAUCGGCGUGUUCAUUUUAUAUUUUUAAUAUAAAAUGUUCACAUAAGCCCAUUUCAGUGCUCUUUACCGAGUGUUGUUGUGGGCCGAUACAAAUUACUUUGAACAAAUUAGAGUGCUUAAAGCAGGCUUAUAAUGCCUGAAUAUUUGUGCAUGGAAUAAUGGAAUAGGACAUCUGUUCUACUUUCAUUGGUUUUUUAGACCAAGAUGUAAUGAUUAAUGGAAGCAGUUGGGGGCAUUAGUAUUACAACGCGAGAGGUGAAAUUCUUAGACCGUUGUAAGACUGACUAAAGCGAAAGCAUUUGCCAAAGAUGUUUUCAUUUAAUCAAGAACGAAAGUUAGAGGUUCGAAGGCGAUC